rnacentral:lncRNA from 1 species
UCUUGUUGAUUAUAUAAAGUAGAUAAAUUAUUUUGUGUCUGCUCAUUUGCAGGUGGUGACAAGUUUAAAUCAAUGCAAACUCUGGAAAAAAUUGCUCCAGACCUGCUCAUUCGCUGGUGGUGAUAAGUUUAAAUCAAUGUAAACUCUUUCUUCACCAAUCUGUCCGGCAAAAAUUGCUCCAGAAUAACCACCCGAUGAUUGGGGGCUAUCCAUGCUACGCACCCUCUUCCACCUUAACGUACAUUUCCAAUAAUUUUAUUACAAUAAAUUUCCCGUAUUCCUGGAAUCCACA